CCUACGGGGGGCUGCAGUGGGGAAUAUUGGACAAUGGGCGAAAGCCUGAUCCAGCCAUGCCGCGUGUGUGAAGAAGGCCUUCGGGUUGUAAAGCACUUUCAGUGGGGAAGAAAGCCUUGGGGCUAAUACCCUCGAGGAAGGACAUCACCCACAGAAGAAGCACCGGCUAACUCCGUGCCAGCAGCCGCGGUAAUACGGAGGGUGCGAGCGUUAAUCGGAAUUACUGGGCGUAAAGCGCGCGUAGGCGGUCUGAUAAGCCGGUUGUGAAAGCCCCGGGCUCAACCUGGGAACGGCAUCCGGAACUGUCAGGCUAGAGUGCAGGAGAGGAAGGUAGAAUUCCCGGUGUAGCGGUGAAAUGCGUAGAGAUCGGGAGGAAUACCAGUGGCGAAGGCGGCCUUCUGGACUGACACUGACGCUGAGGUGCGAAAGCGUGGGUAGCAAACAGGAUUAGAUACCCGUAGUC
rnacentral:rRNA from 1 species